CUUCUGUUUCUCAUUUCCUUUUCCCUACUCCUCACUACUCCCUCUCCUCCUACUUUUAUACAUCAUCGUAUCUUUGAUAAUAAUUAUUUCCUUAAUUGUAAUAAUAUUUCAUUAUUUAUAUUAGGAACUUCUAAUAGGUUAAUGAUUGAUUCUAUCAACUAAUUUGCUGAUUGUUCGAUUGUAUCCUCUUAAUUCGCUUGAUAUCGAGAAAAACUUUAGAAAGUCCGAAAUUCUGCAGGAAGUUGGAAAUUCUCAUAUCUGCAACUGCUACUGAUAACACGUUUUCUGUCUUUACUGGGCUUGUGAUGAGUGACAUACAACCCAGUCACCACGAACUAUCAAAGUCAACAUGGAACAAGUAUUCAGAAAAGACAGGUGGCAGCGAGGGUGCCUUUUAAAAAUAUAAAUAUUCAUCACAAAUGUUCCAACAUUAUUGGAUUAUAAAACCGGUAUGGAAAAAAAAAUUGUUUAAGAAACUAAAAUAUAUAAGCAUGUUUUUAAUGUUACAAUUAUAAGAUCUUUCUUUUGGACAACAAAGAUUAAAAUAUUGUUAUUUAAUGUAAAUAAAUAAAACCUUUUAAA